rnacentral:sRNA from 1 species
AAUUUUCCCACUGUAAAAAACCGAGCAAGUCUGGAUAAGUGAGGCUGGCUCCAUGUAUCCAGAAUCAACGACGGGCUCCCCGGCUCGGCUCUCGCUGCGGCAGACGGGCUCCCCCGGGAUGAUCUACAGGAACCUGGGCAAGUCUGGCCUGCGGGUCUCCUGCCUGGGACUUGGAACAUGGGUGACCUUCGGAGGCCAGAUCACCGAUGAGAUGGCAGAGCAGCUCAUGACCUUGGCCUAUGAUAAUGGCAUCAACCUCUUCGAUACAGCAGAAGUCUACGCAGCCGGCAAGGCUGAAGUGGUACUGGGAAACAUCAUUAAGAAGAAAGGAUGGAGG